GAAGUAAAACUUACUGAAAUUGGUGUCUACGUGAUCGUGGGUCUCCAGGAGUUCGAUGGUGGUCUUAACUCCGUCGUUGGUGGAAGUUUAAGGUUGUUUUGUGUUGGUUUGUUCGACGGAGAAGAGAGUGACAGAGAGAGAGAGAUUCGUGAGGGAGGAGAGAGAGACAGUAUGCAGAAAAAUAGGGAGAGGAUUGAGGGGUGUGGGAUCCACGUGUCCAAUUCAAUCCAAAUUGUUAAAUUUUCGCCCCUUAGUCCCGUUUAAGGGCAUUUUCAUCUUUUCAUGUCCUCGGAAUUAAAAUUCCGGGACGGGCUGUGACAAUCUUCCCUCCUUAUAGAAUUUCGUCCCCGAAAUUCCAGCAACCAACUAAAUCAACCAUACUCCAACAAUUUGCACAGUACGGAAGCUUUAAGAUACAAUUGAUAAGUUGAUACACCCAAAGGUGUGGUGACUACGAGGAAUUCGACGGUGUUCUGACAGAUUGGACAAAAUUAGGACUCACCUUUGGGUGUAUCAACUUAUCAAUUGUAUCUUAAAGCUUCCGUACUGUGCAAAUGGUUACGUCACUCUCAAGUGACGGCCAGCAUGCCCUCCUUCGGGACGGGGUGUGUCAAAGUCACCCUAGAUUUCACUACUAAAUUAUAGCUCAAAUUUCUUGUUAUAAAAAAAAACCCCACAAUUUGUGUGCAUAUCACCAAAAACGUUCCCUCUCAAACACUUCAACGGCGAUCAGUAAUGCUAUUGGAUCUCUUCUGGACGAGAGAGGAUCUUCGUCAGAUUCUCUUUGUAAGGAUUUUGGGGAUCUUCUGUUCAUCGUACAACGUGCUGUCAUCAGGUACUGUUUAUAUUUAAUUUUAAAUAAAAAAAUUUACAAUGAUUUCUGACCGCACAAUGUACGAUGAACGGAUGCAAUUUGAAGAUCAUCGGGAUCCUCACAAAAAGGAUCCGGCGAUGAUCCUCACUCCUAGAUGGUCUUCAUAAUCUUCUAUCCUUUUGAUAUGUAGCACAUCUUACAUCGCAUAUGUCAAAACCAAACAUCCAUUCGAAACAAUAUGUGGCGAACUAAUUACCACCUAUUCCCUAUUUCAUAAUCUAAAAUUGUAAUUGAUAACAAAUAUAAUGUAUAUUUCGGCUAAUGACAUUUUCAUUAAUCAACAAUGUAGCGAUCACAUUCCAUUAGACUAUCUCCAAGCCUUUAGGCUAAUUUUUUUCUUAAAGUAACUUUUUUAAAAGAAAACAUUAUGUAGACCCUAAUUUAAUUUUAUGAACAAUUUAACCUAAAAAUAUUUAGAUUCCGACAAAUAUUGAAAAAUCACUAAUGAGACUCAUGAAACACAUAAAAUAUUUUUUUUAAUUACUUUAGCCGUUGGAUUUAAAUUUGGACAUUUAUAUAUUUUUUUUUACUGUUGGAUUUCAUCAAAUUAGAUCUUAAUAGUUGGAUUCAAUGAAUUUAUAAAUAUAAAACUAAAAAAAUAUAUACGUAUAUGGUGUACCAGCAGCUAGACCUGGCAUUCGUGUCGUGUUUUCCGUGUUCGUGUCUGUAGACAUCGAAAUUUCGGUAAAUAAAUGUUGACCGAUAAAUCAAAGUUUCAGCGCUUAUGUAUUACAUAAAUUUUACACGUAGCGUGUGGCUAAACAAAAAAUCGAGAAUCAUCGGAAAAGUCAUCAAACAGGACACGUGUCAACACCUGGCAGAAACGACUUAUUUUAUCUGGAAUAUUAUAUUCAAAAUUAGGCCUUGGAAAAUUCUAUAAAUAGAAGCCAAUUUCAUUCAUUUGGGGGAGGAAUUCAUAUUAGGCAAAAAACCUUGAAGCUCUGAAACUCUAAAACUCCGAAGCUCUCAAGCAUCCAGGUUCCCGAAGAAUCAAGAAAGCGUUCUUUGUUCUUCGUUCAUCGUUCUUCCAAGAUCAAGCCCCGACGGCCUUUGGAUUAACAAUCACCAAUUCAAGAUCAAGCCCCGACGGCCCUUGAAGAAAGUGUUCUUCGUUCUUCGUUCAUCGUUAUUCCAAGAUCAAGCCCCGACGGCCCUUGAAGAAAGUGUUCUUCGUUCUUCGUUCAUCGUUCUUCCAAGAUCAAGCCCCGACGGCCCUUGGAUCAACAAUCACCAACUCAAGAUCAAGCCCCUACAGCUCUUGAAGAAAGUGUUCUUCAUUCUUCGUUCAUCGUUCUUCCAAGAUCAAGCCCCGACGACCCUUGGAUCAACAACAUCAACAAAUCCACACAUCCAACCGUUCUUCAAGAUCAAGUCCAAAAGCCCUUGAAGAUCCGUUCAUCACCGUUAUUCAAGAUCAAGCCUUAACGGCCUUUGAAGAAACACUCAUCCUCAAGAUCAAGCCCCAACGGCUCCUUGAAGAUCCGCUCAAAUCCACCUUCAAAUAUCAAGCCAACGGCCCCUUGAAGAAACUUCCAACAGUUCAUCCAAGAUUAAGCCUCGACGGCCCUUGGAUCAAUGAAACAUCCACAAAUCAACACCUUACAGAGAUCGAAUCAAAUGAUCAAAAUAGAGAGAGAUUGUAACCCAAAACCAUCAAAUACAAAUAUUAUUUUGUGCACGUUGUUCUUGUCUCUUUCGUUUCAGGAAAUUUUCGUGUUCACAAAUUGGCACGCCCAGUGGGACAAUCUCUACCUUUCAUCUCUUUCUCCAUUCAAAGAAAUUCGAGCACACUUCCAAAAUUGAUGGCAUCAAGGAAUGCUCAAACUGUUCCCGUAACUGGCGCAAAGAACAAGAGCGUCAUCAUCGCAAGUGGUGUCAUUUUAGGCAUCACGACUCGAAGCAAGGCAAGAGCUACUUCUGCCGCCUCUUCCACCUUUGCAUCAAUUAUGCCAACGGAACAAGAGCACCCAAGGCACGAGCCUUUGAUCACCUUAGCCUCACCAAGGGCACCAAGGGGCGAAAGUCCAAGGAAAUACUCCGAAUCCAUGCUCUCCGAUGUCGAUUCGAGCGGCAGUUCAGCCAUGCAAGUCAUGACCAUUUGAGCAACUUCAAUCGAUGAGCAGCUGGCUCAAAUGAAUGAAGCAAUCGCAAGGCUAACCCGAAUUAUGGAAGAAAAAGACUUGCAAAUCGCUGCACUCGUCAGCCGACUGGAGCCACAGGACGGCGAUAACCCUAACCCAGAAGAUGAGCCUACGGUGGAGAGAAUCGAUGCGAAGCUGGAGCCAGACCAAGCAGCGGCACUCAUGGGAUCUCUUUCUAUCCAGCAGCUGCAAGAGAUGAUCGCCAACACCAUCAAGGCACAGUACGAAGGGAGCUCAAAUACCUCCGGGUUGUACUCGAAGCCGUAUUUAAAGAAGAUCGACGCCUUAAGGAUGCCGAGGGGUUAUCAACCGCCAAAGUUCAUGCAAUUUGAUGGAAAGGGAAACCCGAAACAACACGUUGCCCACUUUGUUGAAACUUGCAACAACGCAGAGACCGAAGGGGACUACCUCGUCAAGCAGUUUGUGCGCUCGCUGAAAGGAAACGCCUUUGAGUGGUACACGGACCUAGAACCUGAGUCCAUCAACAGCUGGGAGCAAUUGGAACGGGAAUUCCUCAACCGCUUCUACAACACCCGCCGCACUGUGAGCAUGCUAGAGCUAACGAGCACAAAGCAGUGGAAGGACGAGCCAGUCAUUGACUACAUCAACAGAUGGCGCACUCUAAGCCUCGACUGUAAAGACAGGCUCUCGGAAACCUCUUCAAUCGAGAUGUGCAUCCAAGGCAUGCAAUGGGGUUUGCAAUACAUCCUUCAAGGCAUUAAACCACGGACAUUCGAGGAAUUAGCCACUCGCGCCCAUGACAUGGAGUUAAGCAUCGCCCAUCAUGGGAAGAAAGAACCGAUCUCUGACUACAAGAUUGACAAAGUUCUUGAGACAAAAGUGGAGAAGGCUGCGUGGAAAUCCACCAAGGAAGUAAUGACGGUCAACACAACUCCAGUCAAAAUCCCUACACGAGGCAAGGCGAUUCAAACCGAAGCUUUUCGUGAUCAAGAGAUGCGUAGACGUACUUUGAAGGAGCUUGAGGAGAAAACUUAUCCAUUCCCCGACUCUGAUGUGGUUGCCAUGUUAAAAGACUUGCUGGAAAAGAAAGUGAUCGGCUUGCCUGAGUGCAGACGGCCAGAAGAGAUGAAUCGCACCGACAGUCCAAGGUACUGUAAAUUCCACCGCUUCAUCAGUCAUCCGACAGAAAAGUGCUUCGUGCUGAAAGAUCUCAUCAUGAAGCUGGCUCAAAAAGGAAUCAUCGAGCUAGAUCUUAACGAUGUGUGAAGUCAAACUAUACCACCAUCACUUUUGGCUCUUCCAGCUCAAAGUUUUCACCUCAACCGCUGGGGGCAUCCUCAAAGACAAGCAAAGUUGAAGGAUGGACUCAAGUCACUCCUAAGAAAUUGCACAAGAAGCAUACGUCUCCUCCACAAGUCCGCCAAUCGGAAAGGGGGCAAAGCAGCUCUUGUCAACCUUCAAAGCAACGUGAACGUGUUGAAGAUGAUGAAAUUGUGACACAAAGAUCGUCUGUUGCCAUCACGAUGCGCGACUUCUUGCCCGAAGACUUCUUCAAUCACUCGGUCAAGGCUCCUUACUAUGAAGAUUGUGAGGAACGCCUUUCCAAAAUUGCUUGACAAAUUCACCAAUUCUCCUCGCCCGCACGAGUCUAAACUGCAUGGCACAAAGCUCCUGGUCUGCACGAGCAUAAAAGGCAACAUCAAUGCUCCUUGUUCGCACGAGCCUAAACUGCACGAACCAAUGCUCCUUGUUCGCACGAGCCUACGAAAAACUGUAACCUCCUUGUCCGCACGAGCCUAAACUGUAGGACACAAAGCUCCUUGUCCGCACGAGCCUAAACUGUAGGACACGAUGCUCCUUGUUCGCACGAGCCUAAACUACAUGAACGGAAGCUCCUCGCCUGCCCGAGUGUAAACUGCACACGGCAACAAGGCUUCUCGCCUACACGAGCCUAAACUGCAUGGCGCAACGCUCUUGAUCCGCACGAGCAUAAAAGGCGACACCAACGCUCCUUGUCCGCACGAGCAUAAAAGGCGACAUCAAAGCUCCUGGCCCGCAAGAGCAUAAACUGUGUACGGCAAAAUCAUUAUUAAAAUCACUGUUAAAUUCAUCGCUCAUUUGAACUACGUUUUGACUUGAUAUCUUUCUUUGGAAGGGUACGUAGGCAACUCGAAUAUUCAAAAUUUGAGUUCAGUCACACCAAAAUAAGGAAUAAAGAUUUAAUUAAAAGUUUUGAUGUUAUUACAAUUUCUUUGUACAAAAAAAAAGAAAAAAAAAAGAUACAUGUUUUAUGUAUUUACAAAAAAAAAAUACAUAUGUUUUAUGUAUUAAAAAAAAAAAUAUAUAUAUAUAUAUAUAUGUAAAUGUGAAGCGGUUGCUAUCAUUUGCAUUGCUGCUUGAGCUUCACGUGAAGAAGGCAUAGUAUCUGCAACGCUGUCUCUGUGAGGUCCAAAAGAAUCAAGUCCUGUUUCUGCUCCUUUCUCAUCCUCAUUUCAAAUCUUCUUCAACGCCUAACCCGAGAGUCAGGCCCGGCACGAAGCCCAUUUGAACCAUAGCAGCUGAGGUGCUGAAAUGGGCCACGACGUACACGUCGAGUCAUCAAGACCUCUCAUUCCUGUUUUGGACCCCACAUCCGGAGCACAGUACCAUCAUCAUCCCCAGCAGCUCGAUUCAUCUUCAGCCCACAAACUCCCUCAAGCCACAGGCCCAGGUCUCCCUUCAAUUUUACAAGCCUAGAUGCCAAUAGCCCAUCAAGCAGCGUGUAUCUUCCUCUCUCUCUGCCGCUUCCACCGAAACAUCAAGCCACAGUUGAUAACCCUUAUCAUAUUGAGUCCAUCAAUAGAGUCCGGGUUAUUUGUGGCCUACCUCUGCGAGUCGUAGAAGCCAGUAGCCGGCGUCUUGCACGCGUACGGGAUCAACACUACCAGGCUUAUAAUCUGCCGAGGAAGCAAUGGCACCUGCAAAUGGAACGUCCCUUCUAGCUCGUCUUUCGAGUUCUCUACUCCGUCUCUCGGAUUGAACACGCUACUGCAGUUUAGCAGCCAUCCAGGCCCAAGUAGCAGCCUACAAGCCCACUUCCUUGUAUGCCGAUAGUGAAUCUCCAUCAGGCAGGUUCGUUUCAACGGUGCAGACCCAUCAUCAAGGCCCUCGCCUCUGGUCUCGACGCGGCAGAGUAGUGGAUAAACUCCAUCACCCAGUCUAUUGCUUCCACCGUUGCUACACACGGUGCGCACACCCGGAGCAAGUGGACAUUCUUCCAGCCCACGUUCCUUGUCAACGAAAAGAAGACCUCCUCCUCACCAUCACCAUCUUCAACUUCAGUUUCAACCUCAUGAUCUCCACCACCCUUUUUUGCCGCCUGUUCACGAAGAUGGGUGCAGCGUUAUCACCGACGAGGUUGCGGAGCUGAGAAAACGCACGGCAAUGAGCGAGGUUCAAGGCAGGCGUCGGAGAUGUCGAGUACAUGGAAGGAAGAGGGGUCAACACCGGCGUUUUGGGACUGGUAGUCGAAGAACUUCUCGAGGAAGGUGAUGACGUGUGGCUUCGAAGAUCUGUACUGAUACAUCCGACGCUUAUGCUGGAAUCCACUGGUCAAACUGGCUACGAUGCUUUGACAUUGGCGGGUGUUGAUGGAGGUGCAGCGUUGCUGCUGCUUUGUUCACCCAUUUCCUUCGCGCUGUGGGCGAUUGACUCGGAAAGUUUGCUUCAACUGAGGCCUUAGAAGUAGCGGUCCGCAGUUGGCGGCGAUUAUGA
rnacentral:lncRNA from 1 species